GGCCCCCCUCCCUGGCAACGAGCCCUUCCUGGCAACCAGGCCCCCUCUCCUUGAGAGCAACAGGCUCACUCAGAUAGAGGACACAGAGAGCUGGAUGAUGUAAAGCUGUGUGUGUGUGUGUGUGUCUGGCAGACCUGAUAUAAAUGUGAUAGAUAGCUGCUGUUGGAAUGACAAGGCAGCGAUGUGUGUGUGUGUGUGUGUGUUUGUCUGGUGGAUGCAAAGUGUUUGGAUGAGAAAGAGUCCGUCUGUGUGUGUGUGUGUGUGUGUGUUUGUGCGUGUCCCUCGCGAAGGAGGCGGGGCUUCUCGGUGUCUGACCUGGUGGAAGAUGAGCGCCUGGCUGAUGUAGCCCCAGCUGGAGGUGGGGCUGAGGUAGUGGAUCAGCAGCAGCAGCAGCAGCAUGAAGGCGAUGCUGGCCGAGGCGUAGAUGGCGUUGAUGAGGAACAUCAGGACGGCGCACCCCACGAUGCCCAGCACGCAGGUGUCCCAGGUGAAGUAACGGAAGGUGGGCCUGUAAAUGGGGGGGGGGGGGGGCAGUCAAUCAAUACAAUGCGCUGGUCGUAGUGAUAGUUAAUGACCAUCGGCACGCUAAGAACCGGCACACGGCUCACCUGAUGUUCUGUGAGAGUAGAAGAAGAAGAUUUCAUCACUUGAAGGUUGAAGAUUUUUAAUUUUAUACUCAACGUUAUUUCUUCUUCUUUAGUUUUUAUUGAGCACUGUUGGCCGUGUCACUGCCUUUACUAUUAAAAAGUAAGAAAAUACUCAAAUUGAAUUAAAUUAAACAAUUUUCACGAGAGUUGGUGACCCCCACAGGGGGCGGAUUGAUGGCCGUUGUUCAUGUAGAAACUCAUACACGCUCAGUUGUAGCUUUAGAAGAAGUGAACAUCCGUCUGUCGGCUCGUCUUCGAGAGGAACCGGCAUCCUGUUCGGCGUGCCGCUGCGCCUCAAACCCGCCAAAUGCGGAGGGCCGGUUAAAUCCAGAGGUCCCGCCUCCACGUGUGUGUGUGUGUGUGUGUGUGCCGCGAUCGAAAAGAAGAGCCUCUGCUUAAUAACAACAACAAUGACAACAACAACAACAACUGCUUCAUUUAAAUCCAAGCCCACACGGCGUGCUGUCUUCGUACCGCCGCGCCAUAACGCCGCUGCAGGUUGAAUACUAAUUAACAGGAAGUGGCGGCUGCAUGCAAACGGACCCUCUACUGUAAUUAGGAGGUGUCACUUUGAGGGGGGGAGAGUGGGGGGGUUUAAACCGGUGGGAUAAACAAACAGCACCUUAUCAAAAACAAUACGUAGUCCAGCAAUUUGUUUUAAAAAGGUCAGAUCUGAACCGAGAGAAAGGUCUGAGGUCCCCGUCGCUUCCUAACGGGAGACCGCACGGAGGACCGGGGGUCCGGGGGUCCGGGAGGAAGCCGAGAUAACACCUGGAUAAUAAGCUGUGCAGCUCGAUGCUCCACCUCACACACACACACACACACACACACACACACACACACACGCGAGCCGCACGCGAAACCCUCGAAUAAUGUAGAUAAACAGCUAUUAAGUCCCAGCAGUAAUUACCCAGCGCAGCUCAAGUAGACAGAUUAACAGAUUCAGACUGUUUUAAACCAAACAGCAGGGGGGGGAGGGG
ensembl:lncRNA